rnacentral:rRNA from 1 species
UCAGGAUGAACGCUGGCGGCGUGCCUAACACAUGCAAGUCGAGCGAUUACUUCGGUAAAGAGCGGCGGACGGGUGAGUAACGCGUGGGUAACCUGCCUCAUACACAUGGAUAACAUACCGAAAGGUAUGCUAAUACAGGAUAAUAUAAGAGAUUCACAUGGAUUUCUUAUCAAAGCUCCGGCGGUAUGAGAUGGACCCGCGUCUGAUUAGCUAGUUGGUAAGGUAAUGGCUUACCAAGGCGACGAUCAGUAGCCGACCUGAGAGGGUGAUCGGCCACAUUGGAACUGAGACACGGUCCAAACUCCUACGGGAGGCAGCAGUGGGGAAUAUUGCACAAUGGGCGAAAGCCUGAUGCCAGCAACGCCGCGUGAGUGAUGAAGGCCUUCGGGUCGUAAAACUCUGUCCUCAAGGAAGAUAAUGACGGUACUUGAGGAGGAAGCCCCGGCUAACUACGUGCCAGCCGCUGC